rnacentral:rRNA from 1 species
AAAUUGAAGAGUUUGAUCAUGGCUCAGAUUGAACGCUGGCGGCAGGCCUAACACAUGCAAGUCGAACGGUAACAGGAAGCAGCUUGCUGCUUUGCUGACGAGUGGCGGACGGGUGAGUAAUGUCUGGGAAACUGCCUGAUGGAGGGGGAUAACUACUGGAAACGGUGGCUAAUACCGCAUAACGUCGCAAGACCAAAGAGGGGGCCUUCGGGCCUCUUGCCAUCAGAUGUGCCCAGAUGGGAUUAGCUAGUUGGUGAGGUAACGGCUCACCAAGGCGACGAUCCCUAGCUGGUCUGAGAGGAUGACCAGCCACACUGGAACUGAGACACGGUCCAGACUCCUACGGGAGGCAGCAGUGGGGAAUAUUGCACAAUGGGCGCAAGCCUGAUGCAGCCAUGCCGCGUGUAUGAAGAAGGCCUUCGGGUUGUAAAGUACUUUCAGCGGGGAGGAAGGUGUUGUGGUUAAUAACCGCAGCAAUUGACGUUACCCGCAGAAGAAGCACCGGCUAACUCCGUGCCAGCAGCCGCGGUAAUACGGAGGGUGCAAGCGUUAAUCGGAAUUACUGGGCGUAAAGCGCACGCAGGCGGUCUGUCAAGUCGGAUGUGAAAUCCCCGGGCUCAACCUGGGAACUGCAUUCGAAACUGGCAGGCUUGAGUCUUGUAGAGGGGGGUAGAAUUCCAGGUGUAGCGGUGAAAUGCGUAGAGAUCUGGAGGAAUACCGGUGGCGAAGGCGGCCCCCUGGACAAAGACUGACGCUCAGGUGCGAAAGCGUGGGGAGCAAACAGGAUUAGAUACCCUGGUAGUCCACGCCGUAAACGAUGUCUACUUGGAGGUUGUGCCCUUGAGGCGUGGCUUCCGGAGCUAACGCGUUAAGUAGACCGCCUGGGGAGUACGGCCGCAAGGUUAAAACUCAAAUGAAUUGACGGGGGCCCGCACAAGCGGUGGAGCAUGUGGUUUAAUUCGAUGCAACGCGAAGAACCUUACCUGGUCUUGACAUCCACAGAACUUUCCAGAGAUGGAUUGGUGCCUUCGGGAACUGUGAGACAGGUGCUGCAUGGCUGUCGUCAGCUCGUGUUGUGAAAUGUUGGGUUAAGUCCCGCAACGAGCGCAACCCUUAUCCUUUGUUGCCAGCGAUUAGGUCGGGAACUCAAAGGAGACUGCCAGUGAUAAACUGGAGGAAGGUGGGGAUGACGUCAAGUCAUCAUGGCCCUUACGACCAGGGCUACACACGUGCUACAAUGGCGCAUACAAAGAGAAGCGACCUCGCGAGAGCAAGCGGACCUCAUAAAGUGCGUCGUAGUCCGGAUUGGAGUCUGCAACUCGACUCCAUGAAGUCGGAAUCGCUAGUAAUCGUGGAUCAGAAUGCCACGGUGAAUACGUUCCCGGGCCUUGUACACACCGCCCGUCACACCAUGGGAGUGGGUUGCAAAAGAAGUAGGUAGCUUAACCUUCGGGAGGGCGCUUACCACUUUGUGAUUCAUGACUGGGGUGAAGUCGUAACAAGGUAACCGUAGGGGAACCUGCGGUUGGAUCACCUCCUUA